rnacentral:lncRNA from 1 species
CUCUGUUACUGUGCUGCCAAAAUGCCUCUAUAUCUUGUUAACCUUUGACCUCUAGUUCACUAGGAAUAUUUUGUUUGUUUUGGUCCCCCUUGAUUGAUACCAUUUUUGCUGAGCUUUGCAAUGUUGACAACUGUACUCUUGCCAUAGCAAUGGAAAACAUAGCUACAACUAUUGGGCAGGGAUCUGCUGAAAUAGUUUAGCCUGAGUAGGACAGACCUCAUGUUUGAGUUUCUUGCAUGCAAAUGAUAUGAUAUCCUGACCAAGUGAAAUAAGUUUGCAGUUGUACACUGUGGAACAUUGAGAUGGCAGAGUCUUAACCAACAAAUACACGGUAAAUACUUGUGUGAAAGACUGAUUUCUAGUCGAGGGGUGUCUGUUGUCACGAUGUGUACUGUCACAGUGCAAUCAUCAUUGAUUGCAUUUGGCAUCAGUUUGGCCAGUGUCAUAGAUCUGCUGUCCAAUCAGAGGUGUGCUAUACUUCAUCUAGAAUCUUACCACAUUAAAGAUUGUUUGUCAGUUAUUCCAGCACUCCCUCUAUUGUUCUGGACUUCUAACACUCUUAAUCACAUGUUCUUUAGUUUUCCUGCUAAUGAAAUCAUUAAUAAUAUCUCUCCUAUAUGUUAUAAAUAGACAAAUGAUGCAAAUUUAACGAUCUAUAUACAGUAUUACAAUGCAAAUAAACUUAACACUGUCUGAUCACUAUAAACUGC